GACGAACGCUGGCGGCGUGCCUAAUACAUGCAAGUAGAACGCACAGUUUAUACCGUAGCUUGCUACACCAUAGACUGUGAGUUGCGAACGGGUGAGUAACGCGUAGGUAACCUGCCUGGUAGCGGGGGAUAACUAUUGGAAACGAUAGCUAAUACCGCAUAAUAUUGAUUAUUGCAUGAUAAUUGAUUGAAAGAUGCUAUUGCAUCACUACCAGAUGGACCUGCGUUGUAUUAGCUAGUAGGUGAGGUAACGGCUCACCUAGGCGACGAUACAUAGCCGACCUGAGAGGGUGAUCGGCCACACUGGGACUGAGACACGGCCCAGACUCCUACGGGAGGCAGCAGUAGGGAAUCUUCGGCAAUGGACGAAAGUCUGACCGAGCAACGCCGCGUGAGUGAAGAAGGUUGUCGGAUCGUAAAGCUCUGUUGUAAGAGAAGAACGGGUGUGAGAGUGGAAAGUUCACACUGUGACGGCAUCUUACCAGAAAGGGACGGCUAACUACGUG
rnacentral:rRNA from 1 species